rnacentral:lncRNA from 1 species
UGGUCAAAGACUACAAAGACAGGACAGCCGGCAAAAGAUGAAACGUUUUUGGCUUCGGCUCUCAGUGACCUCGUCCCUUUAAAGUGCGACUUCGAGGAGAUUUCAGAUAUUGCCAUACUUAUUCUAAUUGAACAAAAUUUCAUUAUAAAUUAUGCACACUAUAUAUAAUGAACGUAUAUUCUUGAUGGAAUAUGAUAAAUAUUUUAAAUAUUUUAAUAUUACUUAGUUAUUGUGUAAAACAUGGCAACAUUGCAAAUACUUGACAAGGUUGAACUAGGUUAGUAGGUCAGGGAGUUUUUAACCUACAUUUUUGCAGAAGUUUGUAGUGUUUAUUUGAUAUUUUAUUGUAUUUUUUAUUUAAAUAAAGAAUGAAAUUUUUAAUUGCUGAGCAUAGUGUGAUUCGAUUGGGUUAGUUACCAUUUAAAAUGCUAAGAACAGUUUCUAUUGUUGGAAGGUGAAAAUAAAAACAGCAAAUUGUUUACAGACUUUGUUUAAAUUAGUAUUUGCAGAAAAGUGUCUAUAUUUAUCAAGUAUUUAUCUAAUGUGAAAUAACAAAUUCAUUAAAAGAUAUGUUUGAAUUCUUAUGAUUUCCACUGUUGAAAUGGCAAAACAAUAUAUUUCUAGGAAAUAUCGGAAAUAUCGAAAACGGAAUAUUUUCUAGUGAAAGAAAUACAUUUAAAAGUGAGUGCAUAUUAAGCUAAGGAGAAAUUUUGUAUAAGAAGUUGUUCCAUAUACAGGACAUGCAGAACAUCAAAAUCCAAUUAAAUUAGUAAAGAGCUGAGGGUAUCUAUACUAUAAAAUUUAUAGUUUUGUCUAUUUUUAUCACCAAAAUAUAAGUUACGUAUUUUUGUUAACGAAGGUUGUUUCUUGUUAAGUAACUAAAACAAGGAUCAAAAAAAGAAGACUCAAUCAAUAUGCACCAGUGUAUUUUUAUAAAUAUCACAUAAUUUGCAAAUAUUACAACAAUAAAUGUCUCAGUUUUA